AUAUUUAGGAUUAAAUUGGUAUUCGUCCAAUUAGUUUUGGACUUUUUUUUUGUAAUUUUUCCAUAAAAAUCUUAUCCUUCGCUGUGUGAGUAUAAGUAAUUAUAGUAUCCAUGUGAUUAUAAAUUACAUUGCGUUUACGAAAUCAUGCCACAGUCUGGCUUAAAUGAAUAGGUUUUUGAAAGAGAGAUUUUCAUAAAUAUGAGAAAAGCAUAAGCAUUGCAUUUAUUGAGCUUCCCAUUUCACCCAAAUCCUGAUUUUGACCGUCUUAACUAAUGCAAUCUCAAUCCAAGGGCUAAAGAAACUUACCCAGUUCACUUUUUUUUUUUUUUGGUUGUUUUCUCGAGAAACAAGUUAUUGGCUACAAUAGGAAAAUUGCACUGUCUUUAGUACUUAUCAUGCCAUACAUGCAAAUAGUAUCUCAUGUCAUUUAUAUUUGGCUUUUGGUUGACCAAAAAAUGGUUUUUUUUUGGGACCCUUUCAAAAAACACAUAAGCCACUCAUCUGAUGUAAUUGGACCCUCUUGAAUAGGAAAAUGAGUAGGGUAAACAAAGGGAGAAGAUCAUUAAAGAGGGUUUUUCGCUUUUUUAGCCAAGACUUUAAAUGAUGGCCUGAAAAAAUCUGUACUAAUUAAUCUGCCUAUUUUGUCAAUGUUAAUCAUGGUUGACAAAUAACCAGGGGUACGGUAUCUAUCCUGUUAAUUGUAAAAGAAAAAUAUUUAAAUACAGCUUCAUCAUACAUUGCUUUUGUCUUUCCGGAUCCACGAGACAAGCAACGCACUUUCAGAGAUAACCAUUCCAUGGGAGAUUGCAACUGGUUGGCAGAUCGAAGUAAUCACAGAAAUUGAUAGAGAAAAAAGAAAAAUCUAGUGUUGCCUCCCAAGUCCAAGAGCAGGAGGUAUACAUGAGAAAAGAAGAUUCGGCGGUAUUUAGAGCAAGGAUCAACUAAACCCCUGAGAGAUGGAAUGCAAUAACGAUUUCAACACUAGGGGUGGUAAGAGUGCAGCCGAUGCCAAUUGUGCUCCAGCCCCUCCUCGUCCUAUCAAGAUGUCAUCUUGGACACAGUGCAGUGCUUGCCGAAUGAAGUUUGAGUACUUAAUCUGCUACAUAAACAAGCGACUUCAUUACCGCAGUCCCAGCUGCCGUAAACCCUAUGUUGCUAUCGAGAUUCCACCUGCACCAAUAGAUGGGAAUAAUUCGAAGGCUUUGUCUGAAGUACAACAAUAUCCUGAUAUGGCGAACGCAUCAGUCAGAGGGCAGAUUUCUGCCACCAAUGCAGGAGUGUUUGUGCCUGUAUUUCGGCAUCGGAAGAGGUGUCAUGAAGAGACAGCAGCUGCAGCCAGAGAGGAGUGCUUGGAGAUGAUUCAAAUGUCUAAGAAAGCUCUUAGUAGAGGAGUUGGUGCAGGAAAU